GAUGAACGCUAGCUACAGGCUUAACACAUGCAAGUCGAGGGGUAACGAGAGGGAAGCUUGCUUUCCUUGUCGACGACCGGCGGAUGGGUGAGUAACGCGUAUCCAACCUGCCCUUCAGUAAGGGAUAGCCUUUCGAAAGAAAGAAUAAUACCUUAUGUGAUCGUUUGAUGACAUCAGACGACGAUCAAAGAUUUAUCGCUGAAGGAUGGGGAUGCGUCCCAUUAGGCAGUAGGCGGGGUAACGGCCCACCUAACCUACGAUGGGUAGGGGUUCUGAGAGGAAGGUCCCCCACAUUGGAACUGAGACACGGUCCAAACUCCUACGGGAGGCAGCAGUGAGGAAUAUUGGUCAAUGGCCGUAAGGCUGAACCAGCCAAGUAGCGUGCAGGAUGACGGCCCUAUGGGUUGUAAACUGCUUUUAAACGGGGAUAAAGUGAGCCACGUGUGGUUUAUUGCAGGUACCGUUUGAAUAAGGACCGGCUAAUUCCGUGCCAGCCGCCGCAGUAAUAC
rnacentral:rRNA from 1 species